GGUGUGUAGCAGGUCCUGGACAUUCUAAGGGAAGAAUUAAAAAAAAAAAAAAGGAACCACAUGUGGCAAAGAUUUGAAUUUUCAUACUGCCCGUGAACAGAGACACCCUCCAUUGUUCCUCAUCUCACUGCAGAUGGAGUUCUGGGGGAUGUGUCUAUACAGUGGGAAUGGUGUGAAGAUGGCUUUAACUGGAUGUUGUUCAUUUGGCCUUUCUGAGUCAUUUUCUCUGAAGUUUAUUCUCAUUUUCUAUGAUAGGACCAUCCAGAAAAUGUCCUUCACUCUAUUAAAUCCUGGCUCAUGGGAAUGCCCAGUGUAGUUCCUCUCAGCCACGGAAUCUCCACACUUGGGGCCUCUUAUAGUGAUAUAAACCUAGUGCUGCUUAUAGUCUAAUGCUAAUUUGGGAUUCCCAAGACUGGUGCCCAUAGAUGAGAGAGUCCACACUUUGCAUGGAAUGAGUGACCCGACCCUUUCCCCCCACCCCAGUUAAUUGUGAUUGGUAAAUAAAGAUGCCAACAGCUAAUAGCUGUGCAGCAGACACAUAGGUGGGGUUGAAGUUUCAAGGGCUUGGAGAGAGGACCAUGAGGAUGGAAAAAGAAGAACACACAAGAGGGAGAAGGAGAGCUGCCAUGGGCUAGGGGCCAUGAGAACAUGGCCUAAGA
rnacentral:lncRNA from 1 species